AGUCGUAACAAGGUUUCCGUAGGUGAACCUGCGGAAGGAUCAUUACUGAGUGAGGGUCCCUCGGGGCCCAACCUCCCACCCGUGUAUACCGUACCUUGUUGCUUCGGCGAGCCCGCCCCCCUUUCCUUAGGGGUGGCACAGCGCUCGCCGGAGACACCAACGUGAACACUGUCUGAAGUUUUGUCGUCUGAGUCGAUUGUAUCGCAAUCAGUUAAAACUUUCAACAAUGGAUCUCUUGGUUCCGGCAUCGAUGAAGAACGCAGCGAAAUGCGAUAAUUAAUGUGAAUUGCAGAAUUCAGUGAAUCAUCGAGUCUUUGAACGCACAUUGCACCCCCUGGUAUUCCGGGGGGUAUGCCUGUCCGAGCGUCAUUGCUGCCCUCAAGCACGGCUUGUGUGUUGGGUCGUCGUCCCCCCCGGGGGACGGGCCCGAAAGGCAGCGGCGGCACCGCGUCCGGUCCUCGAGCGUAUGGGGCUUUGUCACCCGCUCUUGUAGGCCCGGCCGGCUGCUGGCCGACGCUGAAAAGCAACCAAUCUAUUCCAUCAGGUUGACCUCGGAUCAGGUAGGGAUACCCGCUGAACUUAAGCAUAUCAAUAAGCGGAGGA
rnacentral:misc_RNA from 1 species